rnacentral:rRNA from 1 species
UACGGAGGGUGCAAGCGUUAAUCGGAGUGACUGGGCGUAAAGGGCGCGUAGGCGGUUAACUAAGUCGGUUGUGAAAGCCCCGGGCUCAACCUGGGAAUGGCAAUGGAGACUGGUUAACUAGAGUGCAGACGAGGACCGUGGAAUUCCCGGUGUAGCGGUGAAAUGCGUAGAGAUCGGGAGGAACACCGAUGGCGAAGGCAGCGGUCUGGGUUGACACUGACGCUGAGGCGCGACAGCGUGGGGAGCAAACAGGAUUAGAUACCCUGGUAGUCCACGCCGUAAACGAUGAGAACUGGACGUUGGGCAGGCGACUGCUCGGUGUCGGAGCUAACGCGUGAAGUUCUCCGCCUGGGGAGUACGGCCGCAAGGUUGAA